GAUGAACGCUGGCGGCGUGCCUAAUACAUGCAAGUCGAGCGAACGGACGAGAAGCUUGCUUCUCUGAUGUUAGCGGCGGACGGGUGAGUAACACGUGGAUAACCUACCUAUAAGACUGGGAUAACUUCGGGAAACCGGAGCUAAUACCGGAUGAUAUUUUGAACCGCAUGGUUCAAAAGUGAAAGACGGUCUUGCUGUCACUUAUAGAUGGAUCCGCGCUGCAUUAGCUAGUUGGUAAGGUAACGGCUUACCAAGGCAACGAUGCAUAGCCGACCUGAGAGGGUGAUCGGCCACACUGGAACUGAGACACGGUCCAGACUCCUACGGGAGGCAGCAGUAGGGAAUCUUCCGCCAUGGGCGAAAGCCUGACGGAGCAACGCCGCGUGAGUGAUGAAGGUCUUCGGAUCGUAAAACUCUGUUAUUAGGGAAGAACAUAUGUGUAAGUAACUGUGCACAUCUUGACGGUACCUAAUCAGAAAGCCACGGCUAACUGCGUG
rnacentral:rRNA from 1 species